GCCAUAGAACGUUGGUGGCUCGUCCGAGAUUAGGUUGAUUAAUUAGUUAAGCUAAGACAAGGCGCAUGUCAAACUCAGAGUCAUGACUCAUGAUUACCUCUAAUAUUCCCUGGAUUUUUUUUUUUUUGAGAAAAAUCUGUAGACGCGUACCAUGUAUUGCAUCGAUCACAAUUUCUGCGCAUAGAUUUUUUUUUUAAUUAUAUAUAUAUAGAUAUAUAAAGAAACCUGCGCAA
rnacentral:lncRNA from 1 species